rnacentral:rRNA from 1 species
GACGAACGCUGGCGGCGUGCUUAACACAUGCAAGUCGAACGGAAAGGCGCUGCUUUUGUGGGGUGCUUGAGUGGCGAACGGGUGAGUAACACGUGAGUAACCUGCCCUUGACUUUGUGAUAACUUCAGGAAACUGGGGCUAUUACCGGAUAGGAGCUCCUGCUGCAUGGUGGUGGUUGGAAAGUUUCGGCGGUUGGGGAUGGAAUCGCGGCUUAUCAGCUUGUUGGGGGGGUAGGGGCUCACCAAGGCUAUGACGGGUAGCCGGCCUGGGAGGGUGACCGGCCACAUUGGGACUGAGAUACGGCCCAGACUCCUACGGGAGGCAGCAGUGGGGAAUAUUGCGCAAUGGGCGGAAGCCUGAGGCAGCAGCGCCGCGUGCGGGAUGACGUCCUUCGGGUGGUAAACCGCUUUCGCCGGUGACGAAGCGUGAGUGACGGUAAUGGGUAAAGAAGCACCGGCUAACUACGUG